rnacentral:rRNA from 1 species
UCCGGUGACUAUGGCGGAGGGGUCCCACCCGUUCCCAUCUCGAACACGGUAGUUAAGCCCUCCUGCGCCGAUGGUACUUGGGACGCAAGUCCCUGGGAGAGUAGGACGUUGCCGGAA